GACGAACCGUGCGAACGUUGUUCGGAUUCACUGGGCUUAAAGGGCGCGUAGGCGGGCCCCCGCGCCCGCGGUGAAAGCCCCCGGCUCAACCGGGGAAGCCGGCCGCGGGGACGGGGGGCCGUCGAGGGGGGUGAGGGGCGCGGCGGGAACUUCCGGUGGAGCGGUGAAAUGCGUAGAUAUCGGAAGGAACGCCGGUGGCGAAGCGGCGACGC
rnacentral:rRNA from 1 species